rnacentral:tRNA from 1 species
AGCGGGUUGGUGUAGUCUGGUAACACGUUGGGCUCAUAUCCCAAAGAUGAUGGGUUCAAAUCCCAUACCCGCAACCA